rnacentral:lncRNA from 1 species
AUGCCGCCAGGCUUUGGGCGGCGUGGGAGCCAGGGGUCCCGCCAAGGGCCACAGAAAGAGGCCCAGGGAGCCAGCGAGCGAGAGAGGCUGAUGGUGGGGCCUGCAGGUGGAAUCCUGGUCUCCAAGGCAACAAGCACGACGGGGAAGCUCAGCUUUUGUUACCUCCUGGCAAGGGAUCACGGACAUUUCUUGUGUGCGUUGAAAUGUCAGGAGAUAUUAAGAAAUGGAGACAUGGAGUUCCCAUUGUGGCACAGUGAAAAUGACUCCCGUAAGUAUCCUCGAGGAUGCGGGUUCGAUCCCUGGUCUCACUCAGUGGGUCGGGGAUCAGUGUUGCCAUGAGCUGUUGUAUAGGUUGCAAACUCAGCUCAGAUCUUGUGUUGCUGUGGCCUAGACCACCAGCUGCAGCUCCGAUUUGACCCCUAGCCUGGGAACUUCCAUAUGCCACAGGUGCAGCCCUAAAAAGCAAAAAAAGAAAGAAGGAAACGUAGACAUGAACUGGCACUCAAGGCUUCUUUCCUGAUUCUUGGCGCUGUAACUACUGCCUCCUCUGCUUUUGCCUGUCCUCUACCCUCUCCCAAAGAUGACCUUCGUGGUGGUGACCCCAAGUGUGGAGGAAGCCCAGACAUCCCUUCACCUGUAAGCCCUGGUUUUCUCCUCUGCGUGGAGAUGCCGAUGUCAUCUCCCUCCCUUGCAGGCAAUGAGGAUUGAGCAGAGUCAGUGUGGG